UUCAACAGACAGGGAUAGGCGCCAGCAGAAUAAAAAGGGUGAUCAGGAAAAGUCAUCUAAUGUGUUGAAAAGGAGUUCUUCUCCUCUAGACAAAGAUCAGUGUGGUGUUUGCAAGGAAAAGGGAUACUGGAAGAAUGAAUGUCUGAUGCAGGCAAACAGGACACCCCCAAUACCUGAAUUAGCUGUGAAUGGGAACUGACAAGGAUCGAAGGGACUAUCCCUCCAGCAGAACUUUCAGUUGUAGCUAAGCCAGGGAAGGAUGAUGGUGAAUUUCUGGUAAACAUGGGGGAACAUAUUCUGCAUUAAAUACUUUAAAAGGGAAACUGAGUCAAGAGACUGUAAAUAUGAUCAGUGUACAGGGUCUUCACAGGGUCAGUGAAACAAGGUCUUUCUUCUGACGUUUAAAAUUUAAGUUAGGAAAACAGUGGGUGACUCACCAAUUCCUUUAUAUGCCAAAUUCCCCAAAGGCAUUAUUAGGUAGGGAUUUAUUGGAGAAAUUAGAAGCAGGAAUCACAUUUUCCAAAGAAAGUGGGAGUGAAAGUUGCAAUUUCUGAAACUAAAUUUGUCAAAGAAGCUAUUUUCAUAUAGGGGAAUUAUGGUGAAAUUCCCAAAGAAGUUGAAGAUGCUGUCGUUCCAAUAGUGUGGGCCUAUGACUUUCCUGGGAGACCCAGAAGAGCUGAGCCUGUGAGUAUUACACUCAAAUUAGGGGCUACACCAGUAAGGCAGAAACAAUACCGUUUGAAGUUAGAAGGCUAUAGGGAAUUGGCCUCUAUAACUGAGAAGUUCCUUAAAUUUGGGUUUAGAGGAAUAUGAAUCUAGAUACAACACACCCAUCCUUCCAGUAAAGAAGGCUGAUGGUAAGAGUUACAGAUUAGUGCAGGAUUUAAGAGAAAUUAACAAAACAACAGAAGAUACAUACCCAGUUGUAGCAAACCCCUACAUUCUUUUGAUCAUGCUGACAGAUGAAUUAGGGUGGUUUACUGUUUUAGAUCUCAAGGAUGCCUUUUUCUGUAUUCCUGUGAAUAAGAAUAGCCAAGAACUCUGCUUUUGAGUGAGAUAAUCCUGAGACAUGAAGGAAAACACAGUUUAACUGGAUAGUUCUACCCCAGGAGUUCAAAAAUAGACCAACAAUAUUCAGAAACCAGCUGGCAAAGGAACUGGAGGACUGGAAAAGACAAGAACCAGGAGUGAUUAUUCUUUAUUAUGUUGAUGAUACCUGAAUUGCAGCUAGAAUGCAAGGUGACUGUAUCCAACUCAGUAUAUGUCUGUUGAACUUUUUGGGACUAAAUGAGUAUAGAGUCUUGAAAGAGAAGGCAUAGGUUGCCAAGGAAACUGUAGUUUACUUGGGGCUAGAAAUCUUCUGUGGACAUUGACAACUCAGCAGAGAUCAGAAGGAAGUCGUCUGCCAUCUUCCACAGCCCCACACUGUGAAAGAGAUGCAAGCCUUCCUGGGAUGGGUAGAUUGGUGCCACUGAUGGAUGCCAAAUUAUGGACUACUGGUAAAACCUCUGAGCCCUUAAGGCAGAUGAAAAGGGAACCAUCAUGUGGACAGAGAACACCAGGGCUGCACUUAAGCAGCUGAAACAUCCCUUGAUGUCACCCCCAGCUCUGGGGCUGCAGGACUUGACCAAGCCUUUAUUUAUGAGUGGCUGAAUGUUGCUCUGGGGGUACUGGUGCAGCACCUUGGAGGUCAAUUAAAAGCUGUGGUCUCCUUUUCAAAACAUCUGUGUUAGUCAAAGAUGGCCUGGGUGUUUGAAAGCUGUGGUGGCUACUGUUGUCCUGAUACAAGAGGCCCAUAAAUUCACCCUUGGGCAGCACAAAUUCAAGUAUGUGCCCCACACACUGAUAACUGUGCUGGAACAAAAGGGAGGACACUGGCUAUCUCCUAGCAGAAUGCUUAAGUAUAACUGUGUUGUUGGAAAGAAAUGAUGUUACCCGAAAAACAACAUCUGUUGCAAAUCCUGCAAUGUUUUUGUCAUCUACAUUAAUUGACAACAUGCCUGAGCAUGACUGUUUACAGAAAAUAGAAGAGGCGUAUUGCAGCAGACCAGACCUGAAGGACAUGCCUCUGGACAAUCCAGAAUGUAUACAGAUGGAAGUAGCUUCAUGAGAAACAGUAAGCAAAUUAAUGCAGUGACAGCCAUGAAUAAGGUGAUUGAGGCAAAGGCCUUGCCAUCAGAUGUAUCAUCACAGGAGGCUGAACUCAUUGCACUGACAAGAGCUGUAGAACUGAGUGAGGGCAAGAAGAAUAGUCAGGCUGGAGAGGGCAGUUAUAAACAUCUCAGCCAUUAUUGAACAUGUUGAAUGGAAGACUGAGAAUGCAAUUUUGGCCUUAAAGGAAGAAGUCCAUGGUCUGUCUCAUGGUUAUGCAGAACAGAAUUGCUCUCAAUUUCAUACUGGCUGCACAAGGAGGACUACAGAAGAAGGCAUCAGUAUAUGCUAAAAGGAUACAAAAAAAAAGGAUAGCCAGAAGAAAAACAGAUCCCAAAUACUCACUGAGGAAACAAUGUCCUGAAUCAAGUCAUAUUUGCUUAGCAAUAAGGGAACUGGUAACUGAUGGUGACCUUUUACUAAUAGUGAUGCAUGUGAAUACAAAAUGAGUUACUUGCUUAUGGGAAGUGUGGCUGAUGCUUUCUACAAACUGAGUUCUACUCCUUUUUAGGUGGUCUGCAUGAAUGAUGGGAAGGAUUUGAUAUGGCAGAGGGAAGGAGAGAGAACUUCUGUGGUUGAAAUAGCUGUAUUGGCACACAGCUUUGCAUAUGAAUUUCUCAUACAACUACUAUCCAUUAGGACUGGAAUCCUAAUGGUCUGGACAUUAAACAGAAUUAGAGAAAAAAGGAAAUAUACUUCUAAAUUGUUUAUGCUUGUGGUCUAUUCAUGUGCAUGGCAAAACAGAUUUAGUACUAAAGCAUAAAAAUCUACAACAUAAACAAAGCAGUCAAAUAAGACAAUGGAGACAAAAUGGAAAUGUAACAGAUUAAACAAACAGUAGGAUCUACAUUUUAUCACAUAGAAUUCUAGCAAAAAAAAUAAUAUUCUCAGCUCACUGCAAGAACUGGCUCUUCUCAGCAUGGUCAGCUGUUUGAAAUAUUAUAUCCAAUAUAAACCUCCACGUAAGGCUUGAUAAAUCUUUUGUGAAGACUAUAUAGCUGUUUUUUUUUAAUUCAUAAAGGAAAAGCAAUAGUAAUCAUUAAGGUAAAAGAAGAUUAACUGAGCACAUAAACAGCAGGCAAAUAGAAUUAAAACUGUAAAUUGAACUUCACUUGAUCACAGAAUCAGUUAGAUUAAUCAAUCAUCUGAGAACAUCAAAUCCAACCUUUGACCAGACAUCAGCCUGUCAAGUAGAUCAUGGCACAAAGUACCCCAUCCAGUCUUCUCUUAAAUACCACACAUCCAUCCAGGGAUGGAUGACUCCACAGCCUCUCCAGGUGGCUUGUUCCAAUGCUUAACAACUCUUCCUGUGAAGAAAUUCUUCCUGAUAUCCAGCCUGAACUCCCCUGGUUCAGAUUGUCCUUUCAUCCUAGUCACCUGAGAGAAGAGGUCAGUCUCACUUAGUUACAUCCUUCUUUCAGGUAGUUUUAGGAAGUGAUAAGACUCCUGAGUCUCCUUUUCUCCAGGCUAAGUAACCCCAGAUCCCUCAGCUUCUCCUCAAAUGACUUACCUCUAGACUCUUCAGCAGCUUCACAGCCUUUCUCUAGACAAUGUAGGGAACAGAAAAAUCGUGAAUGAUCUGAGGGUAAAAACAAAUGUCUUCAUCAGUCUUGGAAUGCUGUCUCUCUAAUGAGACCACAAAGUGGCAUUAAAAAUCAAUCAUUUUGGUUUACUGGUCUGUUUUCUAAUUAAUUAUCACAAAGAAGCAAUGUGAUCCCUGAAAAGAGUGCAGGUAGCUGCUGUAUUGGGAUCCUUGCAGAAGACGUUAAACCUGAAGAGCUGGUGAUCUUGAAAAGAUGCAUUUCUCCUAUUGGAACUUGCACUUGAGGAUGCCGUAUAUUAUUAAUGUGAUUUGUAAAUUAAAACAUCUAUUUGGGAAAGGUAAACUGUAUAGGGAUCAAGGGAUGGAAUGUAUUGAUCCUGAUGGGAGAUCAGUGUACACAGUGUACACUGUAACUAACGUGGGACUGUGCAGGCAGCUGCCUGCAGACAGCUUCUGAUCAGCACUGCAAUGAUACCUCCUGCAUGGACUUGCCCUUAAACAGACCUGUUUUCUUGUAAGGAAGUUAAAGAUGACCUCAAAUUACUUAAAGGGUGAGUUUCUUCCCCCAGACAGUAUCUGCUCUCUGCAGUGUGCCAUGGGAAAAUCCACUGGGGCACUGUUCAAUGGUGCAUGCAGUGCCCAGCACCUGAGGAGAUGUAAGAUGUUACUAUCUACACACCUCUUCUUAGCCUGUCUUUUUGAAGUAACCUUAUUAAGCCACUUGUUGGGUCUUUCUCAUUGAAAUAUAGAGAGGCACCUGCACCAGCUCACUCUCACUUCACCCCACACCUCCAUGCAGAACAGAUGGUAUUUGGUGUUAUCAGGCCAAAGAAAUAGAGGUUUGCUUAACUACUUUUUGGAAAUAAGAACGGUAAAAACGGAAGAUUAUUUCAUUAGAGGAAUUUUUAACUCCAUAGGGAAACUUAAAGAGAAGUACCAAUAUAUAUAUGAUACACUAGAGAGAAUUUGGACUCUUUUUUUGUUAAAAUACUACCACCUUAAGGUCACCUGUAAAGAGACUAGCAGAGACUCUAUGAGAAUGGGUAUAGCAACACUGGAAAUAAUCAGCACAUGAAUAUUUUUCAGCUGUUAAAAUAAUGAAAGCACAGAACUCCAAAUAAAGCUCAGCCUAUGUGCAACUACAGGCUUUUUUUCUGGAAAAUAUUAAGUCUUAUUUAAUAAAGAAAUACUAAUAAACAGAUUGCUUUGAUAAUGAGCACUGAUGAUGAUCUUGAACUCAUAAGCUAUAUAUUAUAAACAAAUCUGGUCAUUAUGAGAUUAAACACUUUCAGUGAAAAGUAUCUGUAAUGUCAAUGAGUAACUUUGAUUAUGGGUCAUAAUUAUGGCCAUAAGUAUAUGGGUCAGAGUUCUAAUUCUUAAACUAUUCUUUGUAAUUUGCAAUUGUAAUAAUGUAAAGGAACCAAAAAAAUAGAUUUACAAGUAGAAAUUUAUUACAAAUUGCAGUGAGAGUUCCCAAGUCACUUACCUAAAUAAAUAACAGCUUUUUGAAAGCUAUCUGGAAUAGUAAAUUACUCACUUGUAUGAAUGUGCCAAUAUUUAGUAAGUUCUAUGAUCCACAAAUUUUAUGUAAAGGGAACAAGAUUAAGUGUAUGCAUAUACAAACAAUAAAUCAUACCUUCAUACGAAAACUUGGAAAACUAUUGCAUGUGAAGGUAUACAUUCUCAUGCACGUUAUGCUGUGAAUGCUAAAAACCUUCAGAGUACUAACAACGUGGAAAACAACUUAGACACUCUCCAUUGCUAAUAGCACAUUACCAGAAACUUAAAAUGGUAUUUCUGUAUUGUUAAAGUUCUCUUCUAUCUAACUGACAUUUUACUCAUCAAAACAAAAUUCAGGUUUUCCAUCUUUUUGGAUGGAAAGAACAGUAGGGGGAGCUCAAAGCUUUUUUUUUUUUUUUUUUACUUGUAAAUCUCAGCCUUAUGACUAGGUUCUUAGCAGAAGCAGAUAUAAGUGACAAAAGUUUUCCCUCAUAAGAAGUUUGAAUAUCCUACAUAGUUCAAAAUACAGCUACAAUUACUCUCAGUAUCCAAACUAAAAUUUAACCACUGAUUAUUCUGAAAAUUUCCCAGUCUCUUCAAAGUUGCAGUUCUGUUAAACACUCUUUAUUUUGGGGUAAAAGGAAAUUAUCUACUUUCAUUCUCCUUAAAUAUGUAACCAUCAAAACAAAACCGAAAUUUCAGAUGAUUCUUUAAUUUAGAUUCUAUGUAAGGCAAUGGAAAUCCACAAUUCAAAAUACUGUCAGAUUAGGAAGCAGUCCCAUAGAAAUACAGUACACUGACAAUUAUACCCAUACCAGGGUAAUAUAUGGGUUUUAUCCAAAAUGGUAUUUAAAAAAUCUUAGCACUCUAUCCAAUUGUCUAUGUAUGUCCAAAGCAGCAUUUUCUAAGUGUUGAAAAGUCUCUUUUCUCUGUCUCUUAGGACACGUUAUCCUUUUCCCUACUAAUGAAUUUCUGUAAUCCCCUUAAAUAUUAUUAUAGAUUCACCAAUCUUCCUUAAGAGUAUAGUGUACUAUCUAAAUUCCAUGUUUACUGCAGGGGAAUUUGACUAAUAACAGCAAUCACUGCACUGCUACUGUUAGCUGUGCAUCUCAAGCAUGACAAUUUUUUCUAUUUCUGACCAAAUUCAAGCUCACAAAUGGUCCCAUGCUGGUUCAGGAAACAUACUAUCUGGCUAUCUGAGGUUAUAGUUAUAUAAACUGAGGUUAUAGGUAUGACUAAAGUUAUGUAACUGUAACUAUAGUUAUAAAAUGAGGCUUGCAAUCCAACCCACAUUUUUACUUAAGUACGUAACUGAGUGCCUUGAUUCCUGUUCAAUACUUCCUAAAGUAUCAAAUGGAAGCAAAUUAUUUUGCUAUCUUCAAACUCAGUUUUCUCCAUUACUUUAAAUACUUCCACGGAAAUACUACUUUUGUCAAGUAUUUGUGAUGGCUUUACGUAAGACUUAAUAAGGACCAUUUUUUCUAAGUACCACAAGCUUUUCUAAUAGAUCUUCGUAUAGAGAAAGAAAGAAAUACCUCCUGUAUUAGAGUACUUGCACUUAGAGGAAAACACUGAUCACCUGUUGUCCUAAGAUCCUUCUCUGCAUUCACUUUAAAACCAUAAAUACUUGAAACAGUCUCCUGAUGGACUUCCGUUAUAAUGUUUUUAAAUUAUAUAUAUCAAUAAAAAUAAUUUAAUUGCACAUCUGAAAAUGCAAUUGACUAGGUUAUAA